rnacentral:rRNA from 1 species
GGAUGCGAUCAUACCAGCACUAAAGCACCGGAUCCCAUCAAAACUCCGAAGUUAAGCGUGCUUGGGCGAGAGUAGUACUUGGAUGGGUGACCUCCUGGGAAGUCCUCGUGUUGCUUUUA